AGCUUUGCGCAGUGGCAGUAUCAUAGCUAAUGAGGUUUAUCCAAGGCGCAGUUAUUGCUAAUUGAAUU
rnacentral:snRNA from 1 species